CCGAGAAGAAGGCGUGUUCUCAAUUCGUGAUUUCACGGGGGUCGGAGAAUUGAACGCCGAACCCCCACUGACGUUUCACGAGAGGUACAAACUGCAAAGCUCAGGGAACGGGAACGCGACCUCAGGUCGCUAGAUCACCUGCUAACUCAUGCUCGUUCAAUUCAUGACGGUGCAAUGGGGUUCGGAGAAUUGAGCUCCGGCCCCCGCGGGACUAGUGUUCCAGGGACCUCCUCAAGCCAUGCUCGUUCAAUUCAUGAUGGUUCAAAAAAAUGCAGAUAGACAGAGUAGCAGCCUAGCAGGUAACCACAUAAACACAGCAUACUGCAGUUUUCUUUUUCAUUUUGCAUUUUGCAUUCUUGCUUUAACAGUGGUGAGUGGUGACAAAUGCAGGUGCUCGACAAAGCGAAUGAUAGUCUGAUACAGCACACACAUGGCUUGCUUGAUGACGCAGUAUCAUAUACUGUAAUUCAUAAGUUGCUAUUGCCAUGC
rnacentral:lncRNA from 1 species